GCCGAAGUGGUGGAACAGGUAGACACGCAGUCCUCAGGAGGCUGUGGGUUUCGGCCCGUGCCGGUUCGAGUCCGGCCUU
rnacentral:tRNA from 1 species